rnacentral:rRNA from 1 species
AGUGAACGCUGGCGGUAGGCCUAACACAUGCAAGUCGAACGGCAGCACAGUAAGAGCUUGCUCUUACGGGUGGCGAGUGGCGGACGGGUGAGGAAUACAUCGGAAUCUACUUUUUCGUGGGGGAUAACGUAGGGAAACUUACGCUAAUACCGCAUACGACCUACGGGUGAAAGCAGGGGAUCUUCGGACCUUGCGCGAUUGAAUGAGCCGAUGUCGGAUUAGCUAGUUGGCGGGGUAAAGGCCCACCAAGGCGACGAUCCGUAGCUGGUCUGAGAGGGUGAUCAGCCACACUGGAACUGAGACACGGUCCAGACUCCUACGGGAGGCAGCAGUGGGGAAUAUUGGACAAUGGGCGCAAGCCUGAUCCAGCCAUACCGCGUGGGUGAAGAAGGCCUUCGGGUAGUAAAGCCCUUUUGUUGGGAAAGAAAAGCAGCAGGUUAAUACCCCGCUGUUCUGACGGUACCCAAAGAAUAAGCACCGGCUAACUUCGUG